GAUGAACGCUGGCGGCGUGCUUAACACAUGCAAGUCGAACGGUGAACGAGGGAGCUUGCUCCCUCCGGAUCAGUGGCGAACGGGUGAGUAACACGUGAGUAACCUGCCCCAGACUCUGGGAUAAGCGUUGGAAACGACGUCUAAUACCGGAUACGAGACGAGAAGGCAUCUUCAUCGUCUGGAAAGAAUUUCGGUCUGGGAUGGACUCGCGGCCUAUCAGGUAGUUGGUGAGGUAACGGCCCACCAAGCCUACGACGGGUAGCCGGCCUGAGAGGGUGACCGGCCACACUGGGACUGAGACACGGCCCAGACUCCGACGGGAGGCAGCAGUGGGGAAUAUUGCACAAUGGGCGCAAGCCUGAUGCAGCAACGCCGCGUGAGGGACGACGGCCUUCGGGUUGUAAACCUCUUUUAGCAGGGAAGAAGCGAAAGUGACGGUACCUGCAGAAAAAGCACCGGCUAACUACGUGCCAGCCGCCGCCGUAAAAC
rnacentral:rRNA from 1 species